rnacentral:rRNA from 1 species
AACGAACGCUGGCGGCAUGCCUAACACAUGCAAGUCGAACGAGACCUUCGGGUCUAGUGGCGCACGGGUGCGUAACGCGUGGGAACCUGCCCUUAGGUUCGGAAUAACUCCCCGAAAGGGGUGCUAAUACCGGAUAAUGUCUUCGGACCAACUAUUUAUCGCCUUUGGAUGGGCCCGCGUUGGAUUAGCUAGUUGGUAGGGUAAAAGCCUACCAAGGCGACGAUCCAUAGCUGGUCUGAGAGGAUGAUCAGCCACACUGGGACUGAGACACGGCCCAGACUCCUACGGGAUGCAGCAGUGGGGAAUAUUGGACAAUGGGCGAAAGCCUGAUCCAGCAAUGCCGCGUGAGUGAUGAAGGCCUUAGGGUUGUAAAGCUCUUUUACCCGGGAUGAUAAUGACAGUACCGGGAGAAUAAGCUCCGGCUAACUCCGUG